rnacentral:rRNA from 1 species
AUUGAACGCUGGCGGCAGGCCUAACACAUGCAAGUCGGGCGAGCGGAGGACGUGUGAGUAAUGCUUGGGAAUCUAGCUUAUGGAGGGGGAUAACUACGGGAAACUGUAGCUAAUACCGCAUAACAUAGGAUGAGACCAAGUGGGAUUAGGUAGUUGGUGAGGUAAAGGCUCACCAAGUCGACGAUCCCUAGCUGGUCUGCGAGGAGUACCAGCCACACUGGGACUGAGACACGGCCCAGACUCCUACGGGAGGCAGCAGUGGGGAAUAUUGCGCAAUGGGGGCAACCUGACGCAGCCAUGCCGCGUGAAUGAAGAAGGCCUUCGGGUUGUAAAGUUCUUUCGGUAGCGAGGCGUUAACUACAGAAGAAGCACCGGCUAACUCCGUGCCAGCAGCCGCGGUAAUUC